UAACAAAAUAUAAUCUGGUUUCAGGUCACU
rnacentral:piRNA from 1 species